rnacentral:lncRNA from 1 species
CUGAGAUGGGAAAGACCAAUGAUGAAAAGACCAGUGAUGUUUCUUCACUCCUUUCAGAAGAUAUUAACUGCAAGUUCCUGUCUUGCAAGAGUUUGGGCGUUGCAGAGAACAACAGGUGAAGGCGUGAAGUGCAACACUGAGAAAACAUGCACAUGCACAUAGGAUAAUCUCAGUGUCCCAGUUGUGCACUUGCAUGGCUAGGUAAAACAGAACAAAACAAGACAGCAACCUGAAGGUAAAGUUCUCAUUAAGCAUUGUCUGGGCUGUCUAGAAGCAGUAGAUCUUCUCUACCACCUACUGGAAUUUAU